UCCCUUCAAAUCGCCACUAUCCGUCGCUAUAUUAAUCAGCGCCGGUUCGCCGGCUAUGGCGAUAAACGCGCUCGUAAUAACCGGACUGGACCCGGGGGCAGUACCCGGCGGCUCCACCAAUCAUCCCUGCGCAAGUUGGGAAUCUGACCUGAACUGCCAUUGGCAAGCGAAGGUCUCUGUGGGGGCCGAAACAGGAUCGACAGACGGGUAAAGGGGAUUGCUUUCGCUCGGGUGAGGCCCGUUACAGGCUCGAUUUUAUAGUUGCUAAUGACAACUACGCUGAAGAGGUAGCUCUCGCUGCAUAAGCAGCGCGGGACAUCUCGCUAAAACUCCUAUUCCCUUUAGCCGGAAUAGGCGGGGCUCGGAGGCGCCUGGCAACAGAAGCCUCCACU
rnacentral:tmRNA from 1 species